CCGCAUCUGUGCAUGCAGCAUAUCAAUAAGCGGAGGAAAAGAAACUAACAAGGAUUCCCCUAGUAACGGCGAGUGAAGCGGGAAGAGCUCAAAUUUGAAAUCUUAAAGGGUUUCCCUUUACGAAUUGUAGUUUAAAGAAGUGUUUUCUGUUGAGGUUUUGGUAAAAGUUCUUUGGAAUAGGACAUCAUAGAGGGUGAGAAUCCCGUAUUUGACCUUUACUUUCAACUUUGUGAUACACUUUCAAAGAGUCGGAUUGUUUGGGAAUGCAGUCCAAAAUGGGUGGUAAAUUUCAUCUAAAGCUAAAUAUUGGCGAGAGACCGAUAGCGAACAAGUACCGUGAGGGAAAGAUGAAAAGAACUUUGAAAAGAGAGUUAAACAGUACGUGAAAUUGUCAAAAGGGAAGCGUUUGACACCAGUGUUGUUUUUCUGAAAAUCAAUUAAAGAACUGUUUAUGCUAAGCUGUUUAGACUUUAUCAGCUAACUGUUUAGUUUUGAGCUUUUCUUUAAUGCACUUUUCAGUUAACAAGUCAACAUCAAUUUCUUUUGCUGUAAAAAAGCUUGAGGAAGGUGGCUUGAGAUUCGUCUUAAGUGUUUAUAGCCUCUUGCCUAUGCAGUCGGAGAGAUUGAGGUCUGCAGCGUAGAUCCUUCGGGGCUAAAUGCAUUUGUGCUAAGUUAUAGCAUUUUAUAGACAACUUGUUGACUAUGAUUUGUCUUGUAGCUUACUCGCUUAUGUUAUUUUACCUACGCUUAGGAUGUUGAGUCAUCACACAUCUCU
rnacentral:rRNA from 1 species